rnacentral:rRNA from 1 species
UACAGAGGUCCCAAGCGUUGUUCGGAUUCACUGGGCGUAAAGGGUGCGUAGGUGGCGAGGUAAGUCGGAUGUGAAAGCUCGGAGCUCAACUCCGAAAUGGCAUUGGAAACUACCUUGCUCGAGGAUUGGAGGGGGGACUGGAAUACUUGGUGUAGCAGUGAAAUGCGUAGAUAUCAAGUGGAACACCAGUGGCGAAGGCGAGUCCCUGGACAACUCCUGACACUGAGGCACGAAAGCUAGGGGAGCAAACAGG